UACAGUAAAGAAGGACCCAGGUGAGAUGGAGCAUCUCUCAUGGAGACACAGACUAAGAAGCAUCAAGGAGAAGACGGCGAGGGGGAGGGGAGGAGAUCUAUUCUUCACAGCAGCAAAGCUGAAGAUCAGGAGUCACAACACGAAACAAAUGUAGCCUGGUCACAACAUGUAUCUGGACCAAAAGAUAUCCUGGAAUGGCAGCAAGUUGAUUUUUCAAAACCCACUUUUCUCUCUGUGGAGUCACAUUAAGAAAAAAUUGAUAGAACAAUGGUGAAGAACGUAGCUAGUCAUGAAACAAAAAAGAAAAAUUUAAAAGACGUAAUUCCUCAAGAGACUUCACAGCAUCUCUUCAUACGCAUAGGAUAUUCAAACACUGUGAGGCCAGAGAACCUAAACCAAAGCCAGUCAUACCUCCUGAUGAAGACUCCAGAUAGGAGAACUGAAAAAUAAAAAAAAAACAGAAAAGCUAACACUUACCUUACUCCAAUCCCCAUCUUCUCAAAUACGGAGUGGGUUAUGAAUCCAAUAAUUUAUGAAAAUCCUGGAUGAUGGAAUGCUUGGGCAGUCCCAAAAUUUGACUCAAAGAAUCUGGAUAUUGAACUCUGGAAAAGA